UACGUAGGGCGCAAGCGUUAUCCGGAAUUAUUGGGCGUAAAGAGCUCGUAGGCGGUUUGUCGCGUCGGGAGUGAAAUCUUACAGCUUAACUGUGAACUUGCUUUCGAUACGGGCAGACUUGAGGCAUUCAGGGGAGAACGGAAUUCCUGGUGUAGCGGUGAAAUGCGCAGAUAUCAGGAGGAACACCGGUGGCGAAGGCGGUUCUCUGGGAAUGUACUGACGCUGAGGAGCGAAAGUGUGGGGGAGCGAACAGG
rnacentral:rRNA from 1 species